rnacentral:rRNA from 1 species
UCCUGGCUCAGGAUGAACGCUAGCGGCAGGCUUAACACAUGCAAGUCGAGGGGCAUCGGGAGUAGCAAUACUUGCCGGCGACCGGCGCAAGGGUGCGUAACGCGUGAGCAACAUGCCCGUAUCAGGGGGAUAAUCCAUGGAAACGUGGUCUAAUACCCCAUAGUAAUUAUGUAAGGCAUCUUAUAUAAUUUAAAGCUUUGGUGGAUACGGAUUGGCUCGCGUGGCAUUAGCUGGAUGGUAAGGUAACGGCUUACCAUGGCUACGAUGUCUAGGGGUUCUGAGAGGAAGGUCCCCCACACUGGAACUGAGACACGGUCCAGACUCCUACGGGAGGCAGCAGUGAGGAAUAUUGGACAAUGGAUGGAAAUCUGAUCCAGCCAUGCCGCGUGCAAGGAAGACGGCCCUAUGGGUUGUAAACUGCUUUUGUAUGGGAGCAAUAAGGGCUACGUGUAGUCCGAUGAGAGUACCAUACGAAUAAGCACCGGCUAACUCCGUGCCAGCAGCCGC